CUGGAAAAGUUGCCACAGCGUCUUUACAUCGUCUUUGUCAGAAGUGAGGUUAGUUUCUAUGUUCGUAAAUGAAUCUGGGGGCAUCGUUUGUGCAAAGUGUGAAACCUCCCCCCACUCAAGUGCUUCCAUUACCAGAGGCGCGACUACUGGAUGCUCUAUGUACCCAUCCACAUUUAGAAGAGAUAGUCAUGAAGAUUCAAAAUGACUCUUGAAGAAUUCGCACACCUGAAGAGUGGUGCACUAAGCUACUAAGAGCCCUUCGAAGAAGAACAAGAAGAAGAAUCAGAAGAAGAAGAAGUAGAAGAACAUGAAAAAAAGAGGUUCACAGGAAGAAGUACAAAAUUCAGCAAGAUGGCACAUAGCUUGAAUGUUAAAGGCUACUCGCAACUCCUAGUUACGGCUCAAAUUGCAGCCAGAUUGUAUAAAGUUGUUAUUGUGACAUGUCUAACUUCUCAGUCACUGUGAUUUAUAAUAGAUACACAAUUUCUUGCCCACCGCCAAUAAAUAUUUAAUUGGUAGCUGAA